rnacentral:rRNA from 1 species
AUUGAACGCUGGCGGCAUGUUUUACACAUGCAAGUCGAACGGUAACAGGUUAAGCUGACGAGUGGCGAACGGGUGAGUAAUGCAUCGGAACGUGCCCGGUCGUGGGGGAUAACGCAGCGAAAGCUGCGCUAAUACCGCAUACGAUCUGAGGAUGAAAGCGGGGGACCGUAAGGCCUCGCGCGAUCGGAGCGGCCGAUGUCAGAUUAGGUAGUUGGUGGGGUAAAGGCUCACCAAGCCAACGAUCUGUAGCUGGUCUGAGAGGACGACCAGCCACACUGGGACUGAGACACGGCCCAGACUCCUACGGGAGGCAGCAGUGGGGAAUUUUGGACAAUGGGCGAAAGCCUGAUCCAGCAAUGCCGCGUGCAGGAAGAAGGCCUUCGGGUUGUAAACUGCUUUUGUACGGAGCGAAAAGGCCUCCUCUAAUACAGGGGGCUCAUGACGGUACCGUAAGAAUAAGCACUGGCUAACUACGUGCCAGCAGCCGCAGUAA